rnacentral:rRNA from 1 species
UACAGAGGUCCCAAGCGUUGUUCGGAUUCACUGGGCGUAAAGGGUGCGUAGGUGGUGAGGUAAGUCGGAUGUGAAAUCUCCAGGCUCAACCUGGAAAUGGCAUCGGAAACUACCUUGCUCGAGGUUUGGAGGGGGGACUGGAAUACUUGGUGUAGCAGUGAAAUGCGUAGAUAUCAAGUGGAACACCAGUGGCGAAGGCGGCAUCCUGGACCAACACUGACGCUGAGUGAGCGAAAGCCAGGGGAGCAAACGGG